rnacentral:rRNA from 1 species
AUUGAACGCUGGCGGCAGGCUUAACACAUGCAAGUCGAGCUGAGCGGCGGCCGGGUGCGUAAUACAUAGGAAUCUGAAUGGUAGUGGGGGAGAACGUCAGGUAACGGGAGCUAAUACCGCAUACUAUCAGCUGAGCCUAGGUCGGAUUCGCUAGUUGGUGGGGUAAAGGCCUACUAGGGCGACGCUCCGUAACUGUUCUGAGAGUAUGAUCAGUCACACUGGAAGUGGGACACGUUCCAGACUCCGACGGGAGGCAGCAGUGGGGAAUAUUGUACAAUGGGCGAAAGCCUGAUCCAUCCAUGCCGCGUGUGUGAAGAAGUUCUUCGGAUUGUAAAGCACUUUAAGUUGGGAGGCGUUACCAACAGAAUAAGCACCGGCUAACUCCGUGCCAGCAGCCGCGGUAAUUC